rnacentral:snoRNA from 1 species
UUGCCUCAGGGAUGAACCGGUCCCUGAUAUUUAAUCAAUGAUCCCAUUAGCUUCACUUUGUCAGCGAAGCUCAUUUUAUCUUCGCUGAUCAUUCAAAAUGGGAAUAUCC